rnacentral:rRNA from 1 species
AGAAUCAACGCUGGCGGCGUGCCUAACACAUGCAAGUCGAACGAGAAAGGGGUAGCAAUACCCUGAGUAAAGUGGCGCACGGGUGAGUAACACGUGACUAACCUACCCUUGAGUGGGGGAUAACUGAGGGAAACCUUAGCUAAUACCGCAUAAUACCCACGGGUCAAAGGAGCAAUUCGCUCGAGGAGGGGGUCGCGGCCGAUUAGUUAGUUGGCGGGGUAAUGGCCCACCAAGACGAUGAUCGGUAUCCGGCCUGAGAGGGCGCACGGACACACUGGAACUGAAACACGGUCCAGACUCCUACGGGAGGCAGCAGUGGGGAAUUUUGCUCAAUGGGGGAACCCUGACGCAGCAACGCCGCGUGGAGGAUGAAGUCCUUCGGGACGUAAACUCCUUUCGAUCGGGACGAUUAUGACGGUACCGGAAGAAGAAGCCCCGGCUAACUUCGCGCCAGCAGCCGC